rnacentral:rRNA from 1 species
AGAGUUUGAUUCUGGCUCAGGAUGAACGCUAGCGAUAGGCCUAACACAUGCAAGUCGAGGGGCAGCACAUGAAGUAGCAAUACGGAUGGUGGCGACCGGCGCACGGGUGAGUAACGCGUAUGCAACCUGCCUACAACAGGGGAAUAACCCGUUGAAAGACGGACUAAUACCCCAUAACACAGGGAUCCCGCAUGGGAAUAUUUGUUAAAGAUUUAUCGGUUGUAGAUGGGCAUGCGUUCCAUUAGCUUGUUGGUGAGGUAACGGCUCACCAAGGCAACGAUGGAUAGGGGAACUGAGAGGUUUAUCCCCCACACUGGUACUGAGACACGGACCAGACUCCUACGGGAGGCAGCAGUGAGGAAUAUUGGUCAAUGGACGCAAGUCUGAACCAGCCACGUCGCGUGAAGGAAGACGGCCCUACGGGUUGUAAACUUCUUUUGUAAGGGAAUAAAGUGUAGUACGUGUACUAUUUUGCAUGUACCUUACGAAUAAGGAUCGGCUAACUCCGUGCCAGCAGCCGCGGUAAUACGGAGGAUCCGAGCGUUAUCCGGAUUUAUUGGGUUUAAAGGGUGCGCAGGCGGGAGAUUAAGUCGGCGGUGAAAUUUUGCAGCUCAACUGUAAAAGUGCCUUCGAAACUGGUUUCCUUGAGUGUGGAUGAAGUAGGCGGAAUUUGUGGUGUAGCGGUGAAAUGCAUAGAUAUCACGAGGAACUCCGAUUGCGCAGGCAGCUUACUAAACCAUAACUGACGCUCGGCACGAAAGCGUGGGGAUCAAACAGGAUUAGAUACGCUGGUAGUC